CAGGCCUAACACAUGCAAGUCGAGCAGGUAGAGCUGUGUAGCGAGUCCUAGUGGCGCACGGGUGAGUAACGCGUGGAUAAUCUGCCUUGGAGAGGGGGAUAACUAGUCGAAAGAUUAGCUAAUACCGCAUAAGACCACAGGAGCUGAGGUUCUAGGGGUCAAAGGUUUUUCGUUUCAAGAUGAGUCCGCGUAAGAUUAGCUAGUUGGUGAGGUAAUGGCUCACCAAGGCGACGAUCUUUAACUGGUCUGAGAGGAUGAUCAGUCACACUGGAACUGAGACACGGUCCAGACUCCUACGGGAGGCAGCAGUAGGGAAUAUUGCACAAUGGAGGAAACUCUGAUGCAGCGACGCCGCGUGAGUGAUGAAGGCCUUCGGGUCGUAAAGCUCUGUCGCAGGGGAAUAACACAAUGAAUGUACCCUGUAAGAAAGGAUCGGCUAACUUCGUGCCAGCAGCCGCGGUAAGACGAGGGAUCCUAGCGUUGUUCGGAAUCAUUGGGCGUAAAGCGGAUGUAGGUGGCUUUGUAAGUCAGAUGUGAAAGCCCAGGGCUCAACCCUGGAAGUGCAUUUGAUACUGCGAAGCUUGAGUGUUGGAGAGGUUACUAGAAUUGUUGGUGUAGUGGUGAAAUACGUAGAUAUCAACAGGAAUACCGGAGGCGAAGGCGGGUAACUGGCUGGACACUGACACUCAGAUCCGAAAGCGUGGGGAUCAAACAGGAUUAGAUACCCUGGUAGUCCACGCCGUAAACGAUGGAUACUUGUUGUUGGAGGUAUUGACCCCUUCAGUGACG
rnacentral:rRNA from 1 species